AACGUAGGAGACAAACGUUAUCCGGAGUUACUGGGCGUAAAGGGCGUGUAGGCGGUCUGUUAAGUCUGACGUGAAAUCUCCAAGCUCAACUUGGAAAUGGCGUCGGAUACUAUUCGGCUCGAGGAAUGGAGGGGAGACUGGAAUUCUCGGUGUAGCAGUGAAAUGCGUAGAUAUCGAGAGGAACACCAGUGGCGAAGGCGAGUCUCUGGACAUUUCCUGACGCUGAGGCACGAAAGCCAGGGGAGCAAACGGG
rnacentral:rRNA from 1 species